AUUGAACGCUGGCGGCAGGCUUAACACCCGCAAGUCGAGCGGUAACAGAGAGAAGCUUGCUUCCCUGCUGACGAGCGGCGGACGGGUGAGUAAUGCCUAGGAAUCUGCCUAGUAGUGGGGGAUAACUUGCCGAAAGGUCAGCUAAUAACGCAUACGUCCUACGGGAGAAAGGAGGGGACCUUCGGGCCUUUAGCUAUUAGUUGAGCCUGGGUCGGAUGAGUUAGUUGGUGAGGUAAUGGCUCACCAAGACGGAGAUCCGUAACUGGUUUGAGGGGAUGAUCAGUAACACUGGAACUGAGACACGGUCCAGACUCCUACGGGAGGCAGCAGUGGGGAAUAUUGGACAAUGGGGGGAACCCUGAUCCAGCCAUGCCGCGUGUGUGAAGAAGGUCUUAGGAUUGUAAAGCACUUGAAGUUGGGAGGAAGAGCAGUUAACUAAUAUUUGACUGUUUUGACGUUACCGACAGAAUAAGCACCGGCUAACUUCGUGCCAGCCGCCGCCGUAA
rnacentral:rRNA from 1 species